rnacentral:lncRNA from 1 species
UAAAUUAUUUUUGAUGUUGAGGUUUUCAAAUCGACGAUCCACACUGUUAAAUAUGAUCUAGAGUAUUUGAUACUUCUAAAAUAUAAAUUUCGUAAUUUUUCGACAUUAUUAUAAAGUCCAUCAAGCGGGUAUAAAAUGAACGGUUAAAAUCGAACUACAUUCUAAAAAUGGAUGACCGGAUCCUUCAAUUUAAGAUCGGAGUUAUUGAUCUUUAUUUAGGUAGUGAAUAAAAUUUUUAUCAAAAGUUCAACCUAUUCUGAUUCUUUUUCACCGUUAAAUUAGCAAAUAUCUCAUACCAGCCGUUAAAAAUUGUCAAUUUUGUGAGCUUUUGAUCGUACGGUAAAUGAUAUCGAAAAAUUAUAAAAUUUGAUUUCUAGAAAUUUUAAAUGUUCUAGAUAAUAUUUAACGGUAUGAAUCAUUGAUUCGGAAGCUCUAUCAUUAAAAACAACUUAUGAAUACGAAGACGAUCGUACUCAUAAGAGUAUAAUAGUCGGACUCUAUAUAUAU